rnacentral:rRNA from 1 species
ACGGAAGGCAGCAGUGGGGAAUAUUGCACAAUGGGGGAAACCCUGAUGCAGCGACGCCGCGUGAGUGAAGAAGUAUUUCGGUAUGUAAAGCUCUAUCAGCAAGGAAGAAAAUGACGGUACUUGACUAAGAAGCCCCGGCUAACUACGUGCCAGCAGCCGCGGUAAUACGUAGGGGGCAAGCGUUAUCCGGAUUUACUGGGUGUAAAGGGAGCGUAGACGGUAAUGCAAGUCAGAAGUGAAAGCCCAAGGCUCAACCAUGGGACUGCUUUUGAAACUGUAAUACUAGAGUGCAGGAGAGGUAAGUGGAAUUCCUAGUGUAGCGGUGAAAUGCGUAGAUAUUAGGAGGAACACCAGUGGCGAAGGCGGCUUACUGGGCUGUAACUGACGUUGAGGCUCGAAAGCGUGGGGAGCAAACAGGAUUAGAUACCCUGGUA